AACGAACGCUGGCGGCAGGCUUAACACAUGCAAGUCGAACGCCCCGCAAGGGGAGUGGCAGACGGGUGAGUAACGCGUGGGAAUCUACCCAGUUCUACGGAACAACUGAGGGAAACUUCAGCUAAUACCGUAUACGCCCUACGGGGGAAAGAUUUAUCGGAAUUGGAUGAGCCCGCGUAAGAUUAGCUAGUUGGUGAGGUAAUGGCUCACCAAGGCGACGAUCUUUAGCUGGUCUGAGAGGAUGAUCAGCCACACUGGGACUGAGACACGGCCCAGACUCCUACGGGGGGCAGCAGUGGGGAAUAUUGGACAAUGGGCGCAAGCCUGAUCCAGCCAUGCCGCGUGGGUAAUGAAGGCCUUAGGGUUGUAAAGCUCUUUCAGUGGGGACGAUAAUGACGGUACCCACAGAAGAAGCCCCGGCUAACUUCGUGCCAGCCGCCGCCGUAACAC
rnacentral:rRNA from 1 species